rnacentral:rRNA from 1 species
UACGAAGGGAGCUAGCGUUGUUCGGAAUUACUGGGCGUAAAGCGCAUGCAGGCGGAUCGUUAAGUCGGGGGUGAAAUCCCGAGGCUCAACCUCGGAACUGCCUUCGAUACUGGCGAUCUUGAGUCCGGGAGAGGUGAGUGGAACUGCGAGUGUAGAGGUGAAAUUCGUAGAUAUUCGGAAGAACACCAGUGGCGAAGGCGGCUCACUGGCCCGGUACUGACGCUGAUGUGCGAAAGCGUGGGGAGCAAACAGG